UACGUAGGGGGCAAGCGUUGUCCGGAAUCAUUGGGCGUAAAGAGCGCGUAGGCGGUCCGGUAAGUCGGUUGUGAAAACUGGGGGCUCAACCCUCAGAGGCCGACCGAUACUGUCGGGCUAGAGUCCGGAAGAGGCGAGUGGAAUUCCUGGUGUAGCGGUGAAAUGCGCAGAUAUCAGGAGGAACACCAAUGGCGAAGGCAGUGUCCUGGGAAGUACCUGACGCUCAGGUGCGAAAGCUAGGGGAGCGAACAGG
rnacentral:rRNA from 1 species